AGGUCUAUUCAGCUGCAUCCAGUUACUGAAGGCUUUAUUGGAAAGCACUCUCGAGUCUUCUUGGGGCUAAGUUCUAGCUCCUCUCUAUCAGUCCUGGGGUUUGGAGUACUUGCCUGUUGGAUGCCUGUUUAUGGUGAAACGAAAUUCUCCUAGGAUCAUGUGAUCAGCGUGGUCCACACUGGUGGCGCUAUUUGGGAGGAGACUUCGGGAGGUGGGGCCUAGCAGAGGGCUGUAGGUCAGUGGGUCAGCUACCUUAUCCUGCUCUCACUCCCUCUCUCUCCUCCUCCCCAUCUCCCUCUCAACCAUGAACCGACAUGCCUGAAUUGUAUUCUUAAUCCUCUUUUUAAGUAAUUGCGGGUGCUUCUCUACAGUAGUAAAAAGCUAAGUGAGGACCAGUCGGAGACGUUGGUUGGCACUUGAGUCUGAGGGAGGCUCUGCUCUAAAGGAAAGCUUUUCUACCGUAACAGCUGCACAGGGACAGAGGACCUGGAAGUCAUCUGAUUGGCCGAACAUUCCUGCCACCCCACCCAACUCCCAGCAGUAAGCAAAGCCAGAAAUGAGAAUCACGCCCUUAUUAACCUACCUUGUCUCUGCUCCUUAAAAACCUACACAGGUCUUCCUGCCUCAGAGACUUUGAAUUUAGGGUGGUGGGGGCUCGGAAUGCUGUUUCCCGGGUAGUCUGUGGGGAAACCCAUCCCAUCAGAGAUCUUUCAGUCAGUGUGUCAUCUCUCUGGAAGAACUCCUGUUACCAUCUUUGGCUCAGCCUCUCCAAGGCCCCCAACGCAGCCUCUUGUUUGUCACCCACAACAGCACAUCACUAACCGUAAGAACUUUGUAAAAAGUUUUUUUUUUUUUUUUUUUUU
rnacentral:lncRNA from 1 species